rnacentral:rRNA from 1 species
GACGAACGCUGGCGGCGUGCCUAACACAUGCAAGUCGAGCGAGUGGAGUUCUUCGGAACAAAGCUAGCGGCGGACGGGUGAGUAACACGUGGGCAACCUGCCUCAUAGAGGGGAAUAGCCUCCCGAAAGGGAGAUUAAUACCGCAUAAGAUUGUAGCUUCGCAUGAAGUAGCAAUUAAAGGAGCAAUCCGCUAUGAGAUGGGCCCGCGGCGCAUUAGCUAGUUGGUGAGGUAACGGCUCACCAAGGCGACGAUGCGUAGCCGACCUGAGAGGGUGAUCGGCCACAUUGGGACUGAGACACGGCCCAGACUCCUACGGGAGGCAGCAGUGGGGAAUAUUGCACAAUGGGGGAAACCCUGAUGCAGCAACGCCGCGUGAGUGAUGGCGGCCUUCGGGUUGUAAAGCUCUGUCUUCAGGGACGAUAAUGACGGUACCUGAGGAGGAAGCCACGGCUAACUACGUGCCAGCCGCCGCUGUAA